rnacentral:rRNA from 1 species
UGAGGGAAUAUUUGGGGUCAAUGGGCGAGAGCCUGAACCAGCCAAGUAGCGUGCAGGAUGACGGCCCUAUGGGUUGUAAACUGCUUUUAUAAGGGAAUAAAGUGGGUCACGUGUGACUUUUUGCAUGUACCUUAUGAAUAAGGACCGGCUAAUUCCGUGCCAGCAGCCGCGGUAAUACGGAAGGUCCGGGCGUUAUCCGGAUUUAUUGGGUUUAAAGGGAGCGUAGGCCGUCUUUUAAGCGUGUUGUGAAAUACUGUCGCUCAACGACAGAGAUGCAGCGCGAACUGGGAGACUUGAGUGCGCGGAAUGCAGGCGGAAUUCGUCGUGUAGCGGUGAAAUGCUUAGAUAUGACGAAGAACUCCGAUUGCGAAGGCAGCUUGCAGUAGCGUAACUGACGCUGAAGCUCG